GACAGAGGUCCCGAGCGUUAGGCGGAAUCACUGGGCUUAAAGCGUGUGUAGGCGGAUCGUUAAGUACCUUGUGAAAUCCCUCGGCUUAACCGGGGAACUGCGUCUGAUACUGGAUGGCUCGAGUUUGGGAGAGGGAUGCGGAAUUCCAGGUGUAGCGGUGAAAUGCGUAGAUAUCUGGAGGAACACCGGUGGCGAAGGCGGCAUCCUGGACCAACACUGACGCUGAGUGAGCGAAAGCCAGGGGAGCAAACGGG
rnacentral:rRNA from 1 species